AUGUAUUUGUCUGCACCAGCCCUUUUAGUUCUUCUUCCAAGAGCAUGGGUUAGCCGGAUAAUCGUUCUUAUUUCAUAGGAGGAGUUCUUUUAACUUUCACAAGAGCGUAUUCUAGGGACCUUGCUUUCACCUCUGUGUAACGCUUGAGCAGUCGAGUUUCUUCCCUUUGUUCUCCAGGUUCUCUCUUUCUCUGCUAAGUUUCUUGAUGAGGCUGUGGGCAUCUUCAAAGCUAUAAAUUAUGGAAUUAGCCC
rnacentral:lncRNA from 1 species